AUGAACGCUAGCUACAGGCUAACACAUGCAAGUCGAGGGGCAGCAUGAAGUUGCUGCAAACUUGAUGGCGACCGGCGCACGGGUGAGUAACGCGUAUCCAACCUGGCCCGCAGUAGGGAACAGCCCGGCGAAAGUCGGAUUAAUGCCCUAUGUCUUCCUUUGCAGGCAUCCAAUGAGGAAGAAAGAUUUAUCGCUGCGGGAUGGGGAUGCGUCUGAUUAGCUUGUCGGCGGGGUAACGGCCCACCGAGGCUACGAUCAGUAGGGGUUCUGAGAGGAAGGUCCCCCACACUGGUACUGAGACACGGACCAGACUCCUACGGGAGGCAGCAGUGAGGAAUAUUGGUCAAUGGGCGAGAGCCUGAACCAGCCAAGUAGCGUGCAGGAACCGACUGCCCUAUGGGUUGUAAACUGCUUUUAUGCGGGGAUAAACUUCAGCACGUGUGCUGUUUUGCAGGUACCGCAUGAAUAAGGACCGGCUAAUUCCGUGCCAGCCGCUGC
rnacentral:rRNA from 1 species